GAUGAACGCUGGCGGCGUGCCUAAUACAUGCAAGUCGAGCGAACGGACGAGAAGCUUGCUUCUCUGAUGUUAGCGGCGGACGGGUGAGUAACACGUGGAUAACCUACCUAUAAGACUGGGAUAACUUCGGGAAACCGUAGCUAAUACCGGAUAAUAUUUUGAACCGCAUGGUUCAAAAGUGAAAGACGGUCUUGCUGUCACUUAUAGAUGGAUCCGCGCUGCAUUAGCUAGUUGGUAAGGUAACGGCUUACCAAGGCAACGAUGCAUAGCCGACCUGAGAGGGUGAUCGGCCACACUGGAACUGAGACACGGUCCAGACUCCUACGGGAGGCAGCAGUAGGGAAUCUUCCGCAAUGGGCGAAAGCCUGACGGAGCAACGCCGCGUGAGUCAUGAAGGUCUUCGGAUCGUAAAACUCUGUUAUUAGGGAAGAACAUAUGUGUAAGUAACUGUGCACAUCUUGACGGUACCUAAUCAGAAAGCCACGGCUAACUACGUG
rnacentral:rRNA from 1 species